rnacentral:rRNA from 1 species
AACGAACGCUGGCGGCAGGCCUAACACAUGCAAGUCGAGCGAAGCCUUCGGGCUUAGCGGCGGACGGGUGAGUAACGCGUGGGAACGUGCCCUUUGCUACGGAAUAGCCCCGGGAAACUGGGAGUAAUACCGUAUGUGCCCGAGAGGGGAAAGAUUUAUCGGCAAAGGAUCGGCCCGCGUUGGAUUAGGUAGUUGGUGGGGUAAUGGCCUACCAAGCCGACGAUCCAUAGCUGGUUUGAGAGGAUGAUCAGCCACACUGGGACUGAGACACGGCCCAGACUCCUACGGGAGGCAGCAGUGGGGAAUCUUAGACAAUGGGGGAAACCCUGAUCUAGCCAUGCCGCGUGAUCGAUGAAGGCCUUAGGGUUGUAAAGAUCUUUCAGUGGGGAAGAUAAUGACUGUACCCACAGAAGAAGCCCCGGCUAACUUCGUGCCAGCCGCCGCCGUAAAAC